rnacentral:rRNA from 1 species
CCUACGGGUGGCAGCAGUGAGGAAUAUUGGUCAAUGGACGAGAGUCUGAACCAGCAAAGUAGCGUGAAGGAUUGCUGCCCUAUGGGUUGUAAACUUCUUUUAUAAAGGAAUAAAACGAGGCACGUGUGCCUUUUUGCAUGUACUUUAUUAUUAAGAAUGGGCUAACUCCGUGCCAGCAGCCGCGGUAAGACGGAGGGUCCGAGCGUUCUCCGGAUUUAUUGGGUUUAAAGGGAGCGUAGAUGGGUUGUUAAGUCAGUUGUGAAAGUUUGCGGCUCAACCGUAAAACUGCACUUGAUACUGGCAGUCUUGAGUACAGUUGAGGUAGGCGGAAUUCGUGGUGUAGCGGUGAAAUGCGUAGAUAUCACGAAGAACCCCGAUUGCGAAGGCAGCUUACUAAACUGUGACUGACAUUGAGGCUCGAAAGUGUGGGUAUCAAACAGGAUUAGAUACCCGGGUAGUC